rnacentral:rRNA from 1 species
UGGGGAAUAUUGGACAAUGGGCGAAAGCCUGAUCCAGCCAUGCCGCGUGUGUGAAGAAGGUCUUCGGAUUGUAAAGCACUUUAAGUUGGGAGGAAGGGCAGUAAGCGAAUACCUUGCUGUUUUGACGUUACCGACAGAAUAAGCACCGGCUAACUCUGUGCCAGCAUCCGCGGUAAUACAGAGGGUGCAAGCGUUAAUCGGAAUUACUGGGCGUAAAGCGCGCGUAGGUGGUUCGUUAAGUUGAAUGUGAAAGCCCCGGGCUCAACCUGGGAACUGCAUCCAAAACUGGCGAGCUAGAGUAGGACAGAGGGUGGUGGAAUUUCCUGUGUAGCGGUGAAAUGCGUAGAUAUAGGAAGGAAAACCAGUGGCGAAAGCGACAACCUGGGCUCAUACUGACACUGAGGUGCGAAAGCGUGGGGAGCAAACAGG